GACGAACGCUGGCGGCGUGCUUAACACAUGCAAGUCGAACGGAAAGGCCCUGCUUGCAGGGUGCUCGAGUGGCGAACGGGUGAGUAACACGUGGGUGAUCUGCCCCUUAUUUUGGGAUAAGCCUGGGAAACUGGGUCUAAUACUGGAUAGGACCAUGCUGUAGGUGGUGUGGUGGAAAGAUUAGUUUCGGUAAGGGAUGAGCUCGCGGCCUAUCAGCUUGUUGGUGGGGUAAUGGCCUACCAAGGCGUCGACGGGUAGCCGGCCUGAGAGGGUGGGCGGCCACAUUGGGACUGAGAUACGGCCCAGACGCCUACGGUAGGCAGCAGUGGGGGAUAGUGCACAAUGGGCGCAAGCCUGAUGCAGCGACGCCGCGUGGGGGGUGACGGCCUUCUGGUUGUAAACUCCUUUCGGCCAUGACGAAGCCCUUGUGGUGACGGUAGUGGUAGAAGAAGCACCGGCUAACUACGUG
rnacentral:rRNA from 1 species